rnacentral:tRNA from 1 species
GGUCACGUAGCCAAGCGGUAAGGCAAUGGUUUGCAAAACCAUCAUACGUGGGUUCGAUUCCCACCGUGACCU